GAACGCUGGCGGCGUGCCUAAGGUAUGCAAGUCGAGCGGUAAGGCUCUCACAGUUUGCUGGAUCGGAGCGGGUCUAGAUCUGUUUCUUAAAGAUCAAGCAAAGUGUGAGAGUACACGAGCGGCGGACGGCUGAGUAACGCGUAGGAACGUACCCCAAGCAGAGGAAUAAGCCCGGGAAACCGGGUCUAAUACCGCAUAAUCUCUUCGGAGCAAAGCUACGGCGGUUUGGGAGCGGCCUGCGUCUGAUUAGGUAGUUGGUGGGGUAAAAGCUCACCAAGCCGAUGAUCGGUAGCUGGUCUGAGAGGAUGAUCAGCCAGAUUGGAACUGAGACACGGUCCAAACCCCUACGGGGGGCAGCAACUGGGAAUUUUUCACAAUGGGCGAAAGCCUGAUGGAGCAACGCCGCGUGCAGGAGUAAGGCCUUCGGGUUGUAAACUGCUUUUAUGGGUGAUGACAUUCGACAGUAACCCAUGAAUAAGGGUCUGCUAACUACGUG
rnacentral:rRNA from 1 species